AAUCUGCAAAUAAACACAGGAGCUCAAUUAUUUAAUGUGAAUUAAAGUCGCGCGGCGGAAGGGAGAUGGCGAAUUGUUAAAGCUGCCAACGCCCACGACCAUUUCAUGUCAAGGGGCAUUAUUAUUAUAAUCGCUCUGGUGGUGAUGGUGGACUACUGGACAUACCCAUGCGAAUAGAUGGCAUGGAAAUGCUUUCAAGGAGUGUUCUACUUCUAGGCUAAGGCCGAAUGAUAUAUCAUCGAAUUCAUUAACGGAAUUAACAAUUCCACUCAUGUGCCAGUGAUGACGACAUGGAAUGCCUCACCAUCUAAUAGUGCACAGACAGUCUCCUCAUAAACCGCGCGUAAAAAACCGCACACAUACAUGGAAACAAAGAAACGCAUUUGAGUAUAUCUAGUGAUCUCCCAGCUUUCACUUUCUUGAUACACUUUUUCUCUAAAAUAUAUUCAAAUAGGAAAUAACAAGGCAAGUACUCACCAA